AUUCCAGCUCCAAUAGCGUAUAUUUAAGUUGUUGCAGUUAAAAAGCUCGUAGUUGGAUUUCGGGCCCAGGUGACCGGUCCGCCGUUUCGGUGUGCACUGGUUAGCUCGGUCUUUCUGCCGGGGACACGCUCCGUCUUAAUUGCCGGACGUGGAGUCGGCGAUGUUACUUUGAAAAAAUUAGAGUGUUCAAAGCAGGCUUACGCUCUGAAUACUAUAGCAUGGAAUAACACGAUAGGACUCCGGGCCUAUUUUGUUGGUCUUCGGGACCGGAGUAAUGAUUAAGAGGGACAGUUGGGGGCAUUCGUAUUACGGUGUCAGAGGUGAAAUUCUUGGAUUUCCGUAAGACGAACUUCUGCGAAAGCAUUUGCCAAGGAUGUUUUCAUUA
rnacentral:rRNA from 1 species